CCUACGGGUGGCAGCAGUGAGGAAUAUUGGUCAAUGGGCGCGAGCCUGAACCAGCCACGUAGCGUGAAGGAUGACUGCCCUACGGGUUGUAAACUUCUUUUAUAAAGGAAUAAAGUGAGGCACGUGUGCCUUUUUGUAUGUACUUUAUGAAUAAGGGUCGGCUAACACCGUGCACGCAGCCGCGGUAAUACGGAGGGGACGAGCGUUAGCCGGAUUUAUUGGGUUUAAAGGGAGAGUAGAUGGGUUGGUAAGGCCGUUGUGAAAGUUCGCGGCUCUAACGUAAAAUUGCAAUUGAUACUGUCAGCCUUGAGUACAGUUGAGGUAAGCGGAAUUCGUGGUGUAGCGGUGAAAUGCUUAGAUAUAACGAAGAACUCCGAUUGCGAAGGCAGCUUACUAAACUGCCACUGACAUUGAUGCUCGAAAGUGUGGGUAUCAAACAGGAUUAGAUACCCGUGUAGUC
rnacentral:rRNA from 1 species